GCAGCAGUGGGGAAUUUUGGACAAUGGGCGCAAGCCUGAUCCAGCAAUGCCGCGUGAGUGAAGAAGGCCUUCGGGUUGUAAAGCUCUUUUGUCAGGGAAGAAACGGUCUUGGUUAAUACCUGGGGCUAAUGACGGUACCUGAAGAAUAAGCACCGGCUAACUACGUGCCAGCAGCCGCGG
rnacentral:rRNA from 1 species